rnacentral:rRNA from 1 species
AGAGCGAACGCUGGCGGCAGGCCUAACACAUGCAAGUCGAGCGCCCGUAGCAAUACGGGAGCGGCAGACGGGAUAGUAACACGUGGGGACGCGCCCUUCGGUUCGGAAUAACUCAGGGAAACUUGAGCUAAUACCGGAUACGCCCCUACGGGGAAAGAUUUAUUGCCGAAGGAACGGCCCGCGUCCGAUUAGCUAGUUGGUGAGGUAAUGGCUCACCAAGGCGACGAUCGGUAGCUGGUCUGAGAGGAUGACCAGCAUCACUGGGACUGAGACACGGCCCAGACUCCUACGGGAGGCAGCAGUGGGGAAUAUUGGACAAUGGGCGCAAGCCUGAUCCAGCCAUGCCGCGUGGAUGAUGAAGGCCUUAGGGUUGUAAAGUCCGUUUUAACGGGGAAGAUAAUGACGGUACCCGUAGAAUAAGCCCCGGCUAACUUCGUGCCAGCAGCCGC